rnacentral:snRNA from 12 species
GGAUGUGAAGGCAGUCUAGCUGCAGCAUCUGUCCCCCCAUUGACUGCCAGUGCUGAUUCUGCUGUUCUGACUGGUUAGGCUGGCUGUCCCCUUCCUCCUUCAAUAGCUCCAUCUGUGUCCCUCCCAAAGCUGCACACUCGUUUGCAGAGGACAACCUCCCCAGCAGAUUUUUUUGGCUGGAAAGUGGCCCAGCAGAGAAGGACCUGGGACUGCUGUUGACAGCCAGCUUAACAUGAGCCAGCGAAGGACCUGAGAGUGCUGUUGACAGCCAGCUUAACAUG